rnacentral:ncRNA from 1 species
CUGGUUGAUCUUGCCAGUAGUCAUAUGCUUGUCUCAAAAAUUAAGCCAUGCAUGUGUAAGUAUGAACGAAAUCAUACUGUGAAACUACGAAUGGCUCAUUAAAUCAGUUAUAGUUUGUUUGAUGGUAACUACUACUCGGAUAACCGUAGUAAUUCUAGAGCUAAUACGUGCAACAAACCCUGACUUCUGGAAGGGAUGCAUUUAUUAGAUAAAAGGUCGACGCAGGCUCUGCCCGUUGCUCUGAUGAUUCAUGAUAACUCGACGGAUCGCAUGGCCUUAGUGCUGGCGACACAUCAUUCAAAUUUCUGCCCUAUCAACUUUCGAUGGAAGGAUAGUGGCCUACCAUGGUGGUAACGGGUGACGGAGAAUUAGGGUUCAAUUCAAGAGAGGGAGCCUUAGCAACGGCUACCACAUCCAAGGAUGGCAGCAGGCGCGCAAAUUACCGAAUCCUGACACAGGGAGGUAGUGACAAUAAAUAACAAUACCGGGCUCUUUGAGUCUGGUAAUUGGAAUGAGUACAAUCUAAAUCCCUUAACGAGGAUCCAUUGGAGGGGAAGUAUGGUGCCAGCAGCCGCGGUAAUUCCAGCUCCAAUAGCGUAUAUUUAAGUUAUUGCAGUUAAAAAGCUCGUAGUUGAACCUUGGGAUGGGUCACCCGGUCUGCCUUUGGUGAGCACCGGUCGGCUUGUCUCUUUUGUCGGCGAUAUGCUCCUGGCCUUAAAUGGCCGGGUCGUGCCUCUGGUGCUGUUACUUUGAAGAAAUUAGAGUGCUCAAAGCAAGCCUACGCUCUGUAUACAUUAGCAUGGGAUAACAUCAUAGGAUUUCGAUCCUAUUGGGUUGGCCUUCGGGAUCGGAGUAAUGAUUAACAGGGACAGUCGGUGUAACACCCCCGAACCGUCCUAAGCAUAGGUUGAUCCACCGGCCAACAAUCAAACAAGAACAUGACCGACGGAUGACCCACACCAAGUAUGGAGAUGAAAGGCCAACCGGCCAGCCAACAAUCAAACAAGAACAUGACUGACCGUCCAACCCAACACCAUGGUCCGGAAGCGCUACGUGACGGGCUAGGGACAAUCCGGUCAGAUUCACAAACUUUACUCCACGACCUAGACCAGUUCAUCCACUAACUCUUCCCUCUGCGUCAAGGCAUAAGGCUUUGCAACCCGUACCUAGAGUUAGCGUUUUCUGUUAGAUCAAGGCCUAAGGCUUUUCAACCCGUACCUCGACCUAACGUUGUGUUAGACCGGACUAGUCAAAUAUCAGAGUACUCAUGAAGCGCAUAUAAAAUGAUUACUUUUAUUUAUUUAGGAAUAUUCAUACAUUGAAUAAUUCAAGACUGGGCCCGGCCUAAUGCCAAAUCGAGUCAACAAAACAUAUAACUCAAUACCGUUUACAAAAGGCAGGAAAAUAUACACCGUGGGUCCUUACGUCAAUCACCAAGCUAUCCGAUCAUCCUUACCUAAAGCAACCUGCAAAAAGGACAACGGAGUUGGAUGAGUAACCUAAUGUUACUCUGUGAAUUAUGAUCCCCAUCUAACAAAUACAACCCCUUGCUAUCCCACCCCAAACAAUCUAAAGCGAGGGGUUUACCUAACAACACAAUUCAAUAACAAUAAGCAAUAUCCAAAAUACGCAGCGGUAAACGAUUGCAAGAUAACUAGCAUUAUGCUAAUUACUAGCUCAUAACCAAACUCAAACUCGAUUUAAACCAGGGUUUAACAACCCAUAACACGAUAUAAUAUUUAUAAUAAACUCGGGUCCUGGUGCUGUUAUGUUCCUCCUUCACUAUCGGCAAUAUCCUAUCUUCCUACCACAAAGGCCAGAAGAAGGAACUUUCAACCGACCGCGGCCCACUGUCCUUCGGGUCACCGCGCGACAGCCCACAGUCCUUCGGGUCACUACCACAUUACACCGUCGUGUAAUCCUCAGCCAUAGGACAUGACCCCAUUCAUCUGAGUCUUCCCGAUCCAGCGAAUAAGGGGUUUCCUUGAACCCGCUGAAUACGAGGGCGAGGAAACACUAAUCAACCCCAAACAAGCCUAGUAUGGGCGGGUUACGCACAUACUGUCGGCAAAACUCACACAACACAAACUCAAUCUUGAACCUAACCUAAAGAUAAAGUUCCAGAUCCUAACUAGACACUCGACUCUACAACACAAACCAAUAGUACCAGUAGUCCGGCCUAUAUGGCCUAAGACCGUUAGUACUAACUACUAAACAAUAAUAACAAUAUUAAACAACUCAAUCAAACCGUUACCCAAAUAGUCCAGCCUCCCGCUGAGAAACUAUCUUUAAAGAUAACGGGAACCUGUACUCAACCAUAUCAACACGCAAAAAUAGAAAACAUGAUGCAUCCUAUUCUUAGUCCUAAUCAGGUUAUCAACUCAUUCUUAAUUCCAUUCAUCUCAGCUUAGCCCUUGCUAAACUGAGUCCGGUUCCAUAAAUAAAAUAACCCUAAGGACUCGACCAUUCAAUAGCGUGAUCAUUAUAAUCUAUAUGCAGACUCGAUCUACCCUAAAUUCCAAGUUGAAUUCAAACAAACCAACUCACAGUGUUCUAGGUGAUAAGCAGCUGGUUGAUCAGAGAGGACUUGGCCAAAACCCGAGGGACGACUUGACUGGACUGGACUGAACUGAUCUCGACUUGGACAGACCUCGGCUUCACCAUGAAGAAACUGACAGGCCUCGAGAGACUGAUCUGGACAGAACCUCCUUUAGCUCUUGGACAGUUCUUCGGACUUCCCGACGGAGCAUCGAGAAGAACUUCGACUGAUCUGAACCAGUGGAACUGAACUAACUCCAGACAGCACCUCCACUUGACCAUCACAGAAUAUGACUGGCCUAGACGGAUUUAUAUGGACAGAGCUUCCGCCUCACAAUCGUAGAGAAUCAUCAAUUGACGGAACUAGCCUUUUCGGUUGAGUAUCGGUCUUAAGAAUCGACCAUACUCUUAAAUCGACCACUUUCUUUUUCUCUCUCUCUCUCUCUCUAGCCACGUUUUGAACUUGCUUUGGUGUGUUCUGGAUGUCUGAAACUUAAGGGGGUGGCAGGGUAUUUAUAGAAAACACCAGCCAAUCACGAUUCAGGUUGGUGGCCGCCCGUGUGUCGCUCCACAUAGCUCCAGACGCAUGCACGGCGGCACCUCGUGCUCCACAUGGCUGGCUGCAUGUCCAGGACACAUGCAGGACGCCACCACUCCUUCCAGAUGUCAGGCUGCAUGACUGGAACUCAUGCAAGGCGCCAGACAUCCUCACACAUGUCGAUCAGUAUUCUUUGGUUGCAUGCUUCGCGACAUCUCGUGCUUAGCCGCGCCACCUCGUGCUUCUAUGUGUCAGGCUGCAUAGACUGCUUGCAUGACCGGCGACACCUCGAGAUUCUGUGGACACUCAGCUUGCUGGACUGUUGACACCACGUUCUGAACCCAUGCAAAGAGCCACCUCGAGCUUCUCGGUCGAUCUGCGCGAUUUUGGCCCUUCAGGUGAAUUUUCGUCCCGCGAUCAAUCCCGAAUAUUUUUCCACUCCCGUUCUGAUGAGCUAAAUAUUUUUAAUAAACUCCAAUCUGAACUCUGACUUUGGCGGUAAAUAUUUCUCGAUCCUUCGGCUUCAUCGAAAACUUCCAUAAUACCGAAAUUAGGGUUUUCGUCAAAUUUAUGGUUUUCCCAUCGUGCUUGCUUCCCGUCGUGCUUGCUUCCCAUUUUGCUUAAUUCCCGUCAUGCUUAAUUCCCGUAUGCUUAAUUCUAGUCCUGCUUCCAAUGUAUUCAAAAUAAUAUUCCGCUGAUACGAAGUUUCGCGGAAAACUUUGUGCUGAAAAAACGUCAUUCUUCCCAAACAUCGAGCUUCUAAACCGUCGUGCUUCCAAAAAUGUUAUGCUUCGAAAACGUCCGUCUCAUCAAUCUAAGAAAACUUCUAACUAUGGUCGAGCAACUUAUUCGACUCAUAGUUCACUCACGUUCACUUCUUCGCCCACAUCGUACUUUAAACCUUCUCGAUCGAUCCUUAUCGCCUGCGACUCGACCACGACAAAGAUACUCGACCAUUCUCUCUCUCUCUUCUUUUUUUUUAACAGGUUUCUACAGUCGGGGGCAUUCGUAUUUUAUAGUCAGAGGUGGAAUUCUUGGAUUUAUGAAAGAGGAACAACUAAGAAAACAUUUGCAAAGGAUGUUUUCAUUAAUGAAGAACGAAAGUUGGGGGCUCGAAGACGAUCAGAUACCGUCCUAGUCUCAACCAUAAAUGAUGCCGACCAGGGAUCAGCGGAUGUUGCUUUUAGGACUCCGCUGGCACCUUAUGAGAAAUCAAAGUUUUUGGGUUCCG